rnacentral:rRNA from 1 species
UACGUAGGGGGCGAGCGUUGUCCGGAUUUAUUGGGCGUAAAGAGCUCGUAGGCGGUUCGGUAAGUCGGAUGUGAAAUCUCCACGCUCAACGUGGAGGGGCCAUUCGAUACUGCCGUGACUCGAGUCCGGUAGGGGAGUGUGGAAUUCCCGGUGUAGCGGUGAAAUGCGCAGAGAUCGGGAGGAACACCCGUAGCGAAGGCGGCACUCUGGGCCGGUACUGACGCUGAGGAGCGAAAAGCGUGGGGAGCGAACAGG